GACGAACCGGCCAACCGGUAUUCGGAAUCACUGGGCUUAAAGGGUGCGUAGGCGGAGUGGCAAGUCAGAGGAGAAAGCCCACGGCUCAACCGUGGAAGAGCCCCUGAAACGGCCUCUCUCGAGGGAGAUAGGGGCGUGCGGAACUCAGAGUGUAGCGGUGAAAUGCGUAGAUAUUCUGAGGAACACCGGUGGCGAAGGCGGCACCCUGGGUCUUUGCUGACGCUGAGGCACGACAGCUAGGGGAGCAAACGGG
rnacentral:rRNA from 1 species